GCACUACUGAGGAGUCUCAUACUAGGACGAAACGGCCUUCUAGUGC
rnacentral:hammerhead_ribozyme from 1 species